AGAGUUUGAUCCUGGCUCAGAUUGAACGCUGGCGGCAUGCCUUACACAUGCAAGUCGAACGGCAGCACGGGCUUCGGUCUGGUGGCGAGUGGCGAACGGGUGAGUAAUAUAUCGGAACAUACCCUAGAGUGGGGGAUAACGUAGCGAAAGUUACGCUAAUACCGCAUACGAUCUAAGGAUGAAAGCGGGGGAUCUUCGGACCUCGUGCUCAUGGAGUGGCCGAUAUCUGAUUAGCUAGUUGGUGGGGUAAAGGCCCACCAAGGCAACGAUCAGUAGCUGGUUUGAGAGAACGACCAGCCACACUGGAACUGAGACACGGUCCAGACUCCUACGGGAGGCAGCAGUGGGGAAUUUUGGACAAUGGGGGCAACCCUGAUCCAGCAAUGCCGCGUGAGUGAAGAAGGCCCUCGGGUUGUAAAGCUCUUUUGUCAGGGAAGAAACGGUGAGUUCUAAUACAACUUGCUAAUGACGGUACCUGAAGAAUAAGCACCGGCUAACUACGUGCCAGCAGCCGCGGUAAUACGUAGGGUGCAAGCGUUAAUCGGAAUUACUGGGCGUAAAGCGUGCGCAGGCGGUUCUGUAAGUCUGAUGUGAAAUCCCCGGGCUCAACCUGGGAACUGCAUUGGAGACUGCAAGGCUAGAGUGUGUCAGAGGGGGGUAGAAUUCCACGUGUAGCAGUGAAAUGCGUAGAUAUGUGGAGGAAUACCGAUGGCGAAGGCAGCCCCCUGGGAUAACACUGACGCUCAUGCACGAAAGCGUGGGGAGCAAACAGGAUUAGAUACCCUGGUAGUCCACGCCCUAAACGAUGUCUACUAGUUGUCGGGUCUUAAUUGACUUGGUAACGCAGCUAACGCGUGAAGUAGACCGCCUGGGGAGUACGGUCGCAAGAUUAAAACUCAAAGGAAUUGACGGGGACCCGCACAAGCGGUGGAUGAUGUGGAUUAAUUCGAUGCAACGCGAAAAACCUUACCUACCCUUGACAU
rnacentral:rRNA from 1 species